AGAAAGCAGAUACAGAUAGAAGGGAGAGUAAGAAGGGAGUCAGAGGUAGAGAGAGCUGCUUGGCCAAUGGCUGCAAAACUGGACCAGGGGUCUGGGGAAAGACCCAGGGAUUGUGCGGCUGGAAGCAGGAGCACUGCACCGGGGAACUCGAGCCCGAGCGAGAGAGAGGAUGGCAGUGCUGAGAGAGCAGCAGGGAGCUGGAGUCACCUUCUCAAGGGAGGUCUGAGAAGAGACCUCAGGACUGGGAGGUGGUGUGUGCCCAACUAUUGCUGAUGUAUUUACCCUGUUGGAGCUCCUGUGAGGCAAACCGGGAUGACAGCACGUCCUUUUAAAGAGCUGAGAAAGCAAACAACCUAGCAACUCCCAAGCUUCCAGACACCCCAGAGAAUAAGACUUGUUAUUAUGGACCAAUGGUUUGAAGUAAGCACUACUCGCCUCCAUUCCUCUGUGCCCAGAUUGCUCCUGGCUGGCUGGCUCCUGAGGUUUCAACUCUAGAGCAGAGCCUGGACUGCAGUGCCUGGUGCCCUGUGCUGAGUCCCAAAAUUCCCUUCACUUGUAUUUAUGGAAAUGAGGAGGAUCACCACAGCCAGUGGGAAGGGAACAUGAUGGGGGAGCCCUAAGUACAUCUGACCAAGUCGCUACAGCAGGGGUGGGCAAUUCUUUUGGGUGGAGGGCUGUUUACCAAGUAGUGGUGAGCUGUGGAGGGCCGCCUGGAUAGCCCCACUCCUUAGGAGUUGCCCCCUUGCUUCUCGGUCACUGGGUCCUGCUGGUGGCUCUUCCUGGGUUGUACUGCCCCUGGCACCUGUCAUCUUUUGACAGGCUAUGGUGGGCCAGUACAGGGCACUCCUGCACUGAGCUGGCAACCUCACUGUGCCCCAGCCAAAAACCAGGGUCUGAGUGCAUCGCUUGUGACACAUCUUGUCUGGUCAAUUUGCGCUGCCCCCUUCCCCCA